AGUGAACGCUGGCGGUAGGCCUAACACAUGCAAGUCGAACGGCAGCACAGUAAGAGCUUGCUCUUACGGGUGGCGAGUGGCGGACGGGUGAGGAAUACAUCGGAAUCUACUUUUUCGUGGGGGAUAACGUAGGGAAACUUACGCUAAUACCGCAUACGACCUACGGGUGAAAGCAGGGGAUCUUCGGACCUUGCGCGAUUGAAUGAGCCGAUGUCGGAAUAGCUAGUUGGCGGGGUAAAGGCCCACCAAGGCGACGAUCCGUAGCUGGUCUGAGAGGAUGAUCAGCCACACUGGAACUGAGACACGGUCCAGACUCCUACGGGAGGCAGCAGUGGGGAAUAUUGGACAAUGGGCGCAAGCCUGAUCCAGCCAUACCGCGUGGGUGAAGAAGGCCUUCGGGUUGUAAAGCCCUUUUGUUGGGAAAGAAAAGCAGCAGGUUAAUACCCCGCUGUUCUGACGGUACCCAAAGAAUAAGCACCGGCUAACUUCGU
rnacentral:rRNA from 1 species